GGGGAGUUACCCAAGUGGUUAAAGGGGGCAGACUGUAAAUCUGCUGGCACUGCCUACGGGGGUUCGAAUCCCUCACUCCCCA
rnacentral:tRNA from 1 species